GACCGCGUUUAGCUCAGUUGGCAGAGCCCUAUAACAGAGCAUUGGGCUAGUAUUCCACAGGUCGUAGGUUCGAUUCCCACCGUGGUCA